rnacentral:rRNA from 1 species
GACGAACGCUGGCGGCGUGCCUAGUACAUGCAAGUCGAACGCUUCUUUCCUCCCGAGUGCUUGCACUCAAUUGGAAAGAGGAGUGGCGGACGGGUGAGUAACACGUGGGUAACCUACCCAUCAGAGGGGGAUAACACUUGGAAACAGGUGCUAAUACCGCAUAACAGUUUAUGCCGCAUGGCAUAAGAGUGAAAGGCGCUUUCGGGUGUCGCUGAUGGAUGGACCCGCGGUGCAUUAGCUAGUUGGUGAGGUAACGGCUCACCAAGGCCACGAUGCAUAGCCGACCUGAGAGGGUGAUCGGCCACACUGGGACUGAGACACGGCCCAGACUCCUACGGGAGGCAGCAGUAGGGAAUCUUCGGCAAUGGACGAAAGUCUGACCGAGCAACGCCGCGUGAGUGAAGAAGGUUUUCGGAUCGUAAAACUCUGUUGUUAGAGAAGAACAAGGACGUUAGUAACUGAACGUCCCCUGACGGUAUCUAACCAGAAAGCCACGGCUAACUACGUG